UACGAAGGGUGCAAGCGUUGUCCGGAAUUAUUGGGCGUAAAGAGCUCGUAGGCGGUUUGUCGCGUCUGCUGUGAAAACUGGGGGCUCAACCCCCAGCCUGCAGUGGGUACGGGCAGACUAGAGUGCGGUAGGGGAGAUUGGAAUUCCUGGUGUAGCGGUGGAAUGCGCAGAUAUCAGGAGGAACACCGGUGGCGAAGGCGGUUCUCUGGGCAUUACCUGACGCUGAGGAGCGAAAGUGUGGGGAGCGAACAGG
rnacentral:rRNA from 1 species